rnacentral:rRNA from 1 species
AUUGAACGCUGGCGGCAUGCUUUACACAUGCAAGUCGGACGAGUGGCGAACGGGAGAGUAAUAUAUUGGAACGUACCGAGUCAUGGGGUCUGACCAAUCGAAAGCUUGGCUAAUACCGCAUAUUAUUCUUGCGGCCAAUAUCGGAUUAGCGAGUUGGUGGGGUAAAGGCCUACCAAGGCGACGAUCCGUAGCGGGUCCGAGAGGAGGAUCAGCCACACUGGGACUGAGACACGGCCCAGACUCCUACGGGAGGCAGCAGUGGGGAAUGUUGGACAAUGGGCGAAAGCCUGAUCCAGCCAUGCCGCGUGUCUGAAGAAGGCCUUCGGGUUGUAAAGGACUUUUGUUAGGGAAGCGGUACCUAACGAAUAAGCACCGGCUAACUACGUGCCAGCAGCCGCGGUAAUAC